rnacentral:rRNA from 1 species
CAGUAGCCGCGGUAAUACGUAGGGUGCAAGCGUUAAUCGGAAUUACUGGGCGUAAAGCGUGCGCAGGCGGUUUGUUAAGACGGAUGUGAAAUCCCCGGGCUCAACCUGGGAACUGCAUUUGUGACUGGCAAGCUAGAGUGUGGCAGAGGGGGGUGGAAUUCCGCGUGUAGCAGUGAAAUGCGUAGAUAUGCGGAGGAACACCGAUGGCGAAGGCAGCCCCCUGGGCCAACACUGACGCUCAUGCACGAAAGCGUGGGGAGCAAACAGGAUUAGAUACCCCGGUAGUCCCUGUCUCUUAUAC